rnacentral:ncRNA from 1 species
UUUUGGGAAACGAUGAAAUAUAAUUUUCAUGUGGGCACUUGGAUUAUAUGGAGUUAGUAGUGCAACCGACCUGAUU